AUUGAACGCUGGCGGCAGGCCUAACACAUGCAAGUCGAACGGUAACAGGAAGCAGCUUGCUGCUUUGCUGACGAGUGGCGGACGGGUGAGUAAUGUCUGGGAAACUGCCUGAUGGAGGGGGAUAACUACUGGAAACGGUAGCUAAUACCGCAUAACGUCGCAAGACCAAAGAGGGGGACCUUAGGGCCUCUUGCCAUCGGAUGUGCCCAGAUGGGAUUAGCUAGUAGGUGGGGUAACGGCUCACCUAGGCGACGAUCCCUAGCUGGUCUGAGAGGAUGACCAGCCACACUGGAACUGAGACACGGUUCAGACUCCUACGGGAGGCAGCAGUGGGGAAUAUUGCACAAUGGGCGCAAGCCUGAUGCAGCCAUGCCGCGUGUAUGAAGAAGGCCUUCGGGUUGUAAAGUACUUUCAGCGGGGAGGAAGGGAGUAAAGUUAAUACCUUUGCUCAUUGACGUUACCCGCAGAAGAAGCACCGGCUAACUCCGUG
rnacentral:rRNA from 1 species